AAGUCGUAACAAGGUUUCCGUAGGUGAACCUGCGGAAGGAUCAUUAACACGUAUCCGAACGUAAAAAAAACCCUGUGCAUCUUCAUUGGUUGGUUUGCGAACGACUCUAGCGCCAGCCUGCAAUAAUUACUGACCUGGCACUCUAAGCAAUCAAUGUUCUGUCAGUGUACAUUGGUUCAGCGAGCUGUCAGUGCUCCCCCCAAUAACCACUCAACAAGUACUUCUGCGCUCCUCGGGGAAACCCGAGGUGUAGUUAAAAUUAAUACAACUGUUAACAAUGGAUAUCUUGGUUCUC
rnacentral:misc_RNA from 1 species